rnacentral:rRNA from 1 species
GAUGAACGCUGGCGGCGUGCCUAAUACAUGCAAGUCGAGCGAACAGACGAGGAGCUUGCUCCUCUGACGUUAGCGGCGGACGGGUGAGUAACACGUGGAUAACCUACCUAUAAGACUGGGAUAACUUCGGGAAACCGGAGCUAAUACCGGAUAAUAUAUUGAACCGCAUGGUUCAAUAGUGAAAGACGGUUUUGCUGUCACUUAUAGAUGGAUCCGCGCCGCAUUAGCUAGUUGGUAAGGUAACGGCUUACCAAGGCGACGAUGCGUAGCCGACCUGAGAGGGUGAUCGGCCACACUGGAACUGAGACACGGUCCAGACUCCUACGGGAGGCAGCAGUAGGGAAUCUUCCGCAAUGGGCGAAAGCCUGACGGAGCAACGCCGCGUGAGUGAUGAAGGUCUACGGAUCGUAAAACUCUGUUAUUAGGGAAGAACAAAUGUGUAAGUAACUAUGCACGUCUUGACGGUACCUAAUCAGAAAGCCACGGCUAACUACGUG